AACGCAUCUUGCGCUUCCGGGUCAUUCCUGGAAGCAUGCUUGUUGGAGUAACGGAAAAGCUUAAACCCCAUUUAUCUUAAUUGAUGAGUAGCAGGGUUUAGAUCUUGACGUUUGUUGAUAACUUAGGUUAUCGAACUAUGUUGAAAAUUAAGUCGCUGAAACUUUGAAAUAUAUUCAUGCAGGCUUCGGCUAACUAUUGUUGUAAUUUUCUCAAUAGUGUUGCAAUAUUCAAUUGAAGUAGGCUCGAUAAACUGAUUGACUGCGUCUUACAAGAUGCAUUCAUCAAUUUUUUGCUUGUUCUCCAAUCAAGUAGGACUACCCGCUGAACUUAA
rnacentral:misc_RNA from 1 species